rnacentral:rRNA from 1 species
AUUGAACGCUGGCGGAAUGCUUUACACAUGCAAGUCGAGCGGCAGCGCGGGGCAACCUGGCGGCGAGCGGCGAACGGGUGAGUAAUGCAUCGGAACGUACCCCGUCGUGGGGGAUAACUACCCGAAAGGGGUAGCUAAUACCGCAUACGACCUGAGGGUGAAAGCGGGGGACCGAAAGGCCUCGCGCGAUGGGAGCGGCCGAUGCCGGAUUAGCUAGUUGGUAGGGUAAAGGCCUACCAAGGCGACGAUCCGUAGCUGGUCUGAGAGGACGACCAGCCACACUGGAACUGAGACACGGUCCAGACUCCUACGGGAGGCAGCAGUGGGGAAUUUUGGACAAUGGGCGAAAGCCUGAUCCAGCCAUUCCGCGUGAGUGAAGAA